UCCAGCUCCAAUAGCGUAUAUUAAAGUUGUUGCAGUUAAAAAGCUCGUAGUUGGAUUUCGGAAGGUCCUUAGCAAUCCGCCCCUUCGGGGAGCGGGUUGCUGGCCUCCUAUGUUCCUAACGGUCCUCAUCCGCGAGGGUGGGGAAUCAACCGCUAGGAUCGUUUACUUUGAGGAAAUUAGAGUGUUCAAAGCAGGCGUAACUCGCCUCCGAAUACGUUAGCAUGGGAUAAUGGAAUACGACUUCGGUCUUGUUUCGUUGGUUUCGCUUGGCUGAAGUAAUGAUUGAUAGGGACAGUUGGGGGCAUUAGUAUUUAGUUGUCAGAGGUGAAAUUCUAGGAUUUACUAAAGACUGACCAAUGCGAAAGCAUUUGCCAAGGAUGUUUUCAUUAAUCAAGAACGAAAGUAGGGGGAUCGAAGACGAUCAGAUACCGUCGUAGUCUCUACCGUAAACUAUGCCGACCAGGGAUCCGGAGAGUUUGCAUGGAUGACUCCCCGGGCACCUUGUGAGAAAUCAUAAGUGUUUGGGUUUUGGGGGGAGUAUGGUCGCAAGGCUGAAACUAAAGGAAUGACGGCACGWCCCCCMCARGGU
rnacentral:rRNA from 1 species